GCCGAGCGGUAGAGAUCUUUCGGGAUCUUGAGAGCGGCGUACGGGUGCGGAACACGUGUGCAACCUGCCUUUAUCUGGGGGAUAGCCUUUCGAAAGGAAGAUUAAUACCCCAUAAUAUACUGAAUGGCAUCAUUCGGUAUUGAAAACUCCGGUGGAUAGAGAUGGGCACGCGCAAGAUUAGAUAGUUGGUGAGGUAACGGCUCACCAAGUCUACGAUCUUUAGGGGGCCUGAGAGGGUGAUCCCCCACACUGGUACUGAGACACGGACCAGACUCCUACGGGAGGCAGCAGUGAGGAAUAUUGGACAAUGGGUGAGAGCCUGAUCCAGCCAUCCCGCGUGAAGGACGACGGCCCUAUGGGUUGUAAACUUCUUUUGUAUAGGGAUAAACCUACCCUCGUGAGGGUAGCUGAAGGUACUAUACGAAUAAGCACCGGCUAACUCCGUGCCAGCAGCCGCGGUAAUACGGAGGGUGCAAGCGUUAUCCGGAUUUAUUGGGUUUAAAGGGUCCGUAGGCGGAUCUGUAAGUCAGUGGUGAAAUCUCACAGCUUAACUGUGAAACUGCCAUUGAUACUGCAGGUCUUGAGUGUUGUUGAAGUAGCUGGAAUAAGUAGUGUAGCGGUGAAAUGCAUAGAUAUUACUUAGAACACCAAUUGCGAAGGCAGGUUACUAAGCAACAACUGACGCUGAUGGACGAAAGCGUGGGGAGCGAACAGGAUUAGAUACCCUGGUAGUCCACGCCGUAAACGAUGCUAACUCGUUUUUGGAAUGUAAGUUUCAGAGACUAAGCGAAAGUGAUAAGUUAGCCACCUGGGGAGUACGAACGCAAGUUUGAAACUCAAAGGAAUUGACGGGGGCCCGCACAAGCGGUGGAUUAUGUGGUUUAAUUCGAUGAUACGCGAGGAACCUUACCAAGGCUUAAAUGGGAAAUGACAGGUUUAGAAAUAGACUUUUCUUCGGACAUUUUUCAAGGUGCUGCAUGGUUGUCGUCAGCUCGUGCCGUGAGGUGUUAGGUUAAGUCCUGCAACGAGCGCAACCCCUGUCACUAGUUGCCAUCAUUAAGUUGGGGACUCUAGUGAGACUGCCUACGCAAGUAGAGAGGAAGGUGGGGAUGACGUCAAAUCAUCACGGCCCUUACGCCUUGGGCCACACACGUAAUACAAUGGCCGGUACAGAGGGCAGCUACACUGCGAAGUGAUGCAAAUCUCGAAAGCCGGUCUCAGUUCGGAUUGGAGUCUGCAACUCGACUCUAUGAAGCUGGAAUCGCUAGUAAUCGCGCAUCAGCCAUGGCGCGGUGAAUACGUUCCCGGGCCUUGUACACACCGCCCGUCAAGCCAUGGAAGUCUGGGGUACCUGAAGUCGGUGACCGUAACAGGAGC
rnacentral:rRNA from 1 species